rnacentral:lncRNA from 1 species
AGUAAGUAUGUUCAGUAGCUAGAAUAUAAUUAUCUAAAAUGUCCAAAUAAGCAGAGAACAGAAGGGAAUAUAUUAAUCCAAAUGAAGAUAGGAAAAGUAGAGGAGGAUGUCAAAGGAAAAGUAUGGUAAACUGAAAACAUGUAAAAAUAAUUAUAACAACAAUCAACAUUGUUUUAGAUACCAAUAUGAACACUUUACAUUUAUUUAUUCUUUCUACACUAAUAUCCCUCUGAAGUGUAGGUACUGUUAUUAUCCUCAUUUUAUAAAUGAGAAAAUUAAGGUACAAGGAAAUUGGCCAAUGUCACACAAUUAAUUACUGAUCAAGCCAGAAUUUGAGCCUGGGUAUUCUGGCACAAGACUAGUUCAAAAUAAGUACACUAUAUAAUUUAAUACAGUAAAUGUAAGCAAAUUAAGCUAACCUAUAAAACUUCAAAGAUUAUUCAAAUGGGAAAACAAAAUUUAGCUGUAUAAUACUUUCAAGAGGCAUACCCAAUGCAAAAUCACACAGGAAGUUUGCAAAUUACAGGGAUGGAAAAAGAGAUACCCAAUGGUAUUAACCAAAGAAAAUUAGUACUAUGAUAUGGUUAUCAGACAAGAUAGAAUUUAGGGGGAGAAAUAAAGUAUUAGAAGGUCUGUUAUAUAAUCUUUCAAAGAAACAGUUCACCAAGAUGAAAUGCUAUUCAUGAGCUUCUCUUGCCUGAUUGGCUGAAGUUUCAAGGAGUAUGUUGAAUAUGAGUGGUGAGUGGGCAUCCUUCUCUUGGUCCUGUUUUUAGAGGAAAUACUUUAAGUUUUUCUCUGUUUAGUAUGAUGAUGGCCUUGGGUUUGUCAUAUAUAGCCAAUAUAAUGUUAAAGUAAGUUCCUUCUAUCUUUAGCUUCUGUAGUGUUUUAAAGAUAAUGGGCAUUAGGCUUUGUCAAAUGUUUUUUCUGUGUCUAUUGAGAUAAUCAUGUGAUUCUUGUCCAUAACUCUAUGUGGUAAAUUAUAUUUAUUGAUUUGCAUAUGUUGAACCAACCUUGCAUGACUGGUAUGAGAACAACUUGAUCUUGGUGCAGUAUCCUUUUAAUGUGUUUUUCUGUGUGAUUUGCCAAUAUUUUAUUAAGACUUUUAUAUUUAUCAAGGAUAUUGGCCAGAAGUUUGCUUUCCUUAAUGUGUUGUUGUCUGGUGGGAAUUUUUUAAAUUGAGGGAAUCUUUUAAACAUACUCCUUAAUAAUUAAUGAAUUAAAAAGGAAAUUAUAAUAGAAGUUAUAAAAUAUUUAGGACUCAAAGAUAUGAAUGUACUGUAUACUAAAAUAUACAAGCUAUAGUUAAAGGGUUAGAGCUAAAUUUAUAGCCUUAAAACCACUUAACUGAAAAAUACACAUUAAAAAAAUCAAACUUCGAACUUGGAGAAAAUUAAAUAACAAUACAGACAGCUUGAGGAAAAUGAAGAAAAGAAAUCAAAAGAAGAAAUUAAUGAAAUAGGAAGCAACCAACAAUUCCAAAUGCUGAUUCUUAAAGAUUUAAUUUUAAAACUAGUAAAAUAAAUGGCAUCUAGCACGACUGAGAAGAAAAGAGAAAAAGUAAAGACAAUAUGCAGUGUUCAAACUCAUGAUGUCUUACUCAUUGUGUCCUUAACUAUAUUAUGUCGACUCUCAGAAAAUACCAUGGAUGACUUUAGGACAGUAAAUGCAACAGUUAGGCAAAAAUGUGAAAAAGAAUAAUUUUCUAGAAAAAUUUUAACCAAAAUAAAAUCAAGAAAAUUCACAUAGCCUAUAUUCAUUCAAGAAACUGAAAUAGUGAUCAAAAAUCCUUCUUUCCCCUUCUUUUCUCUACUAAGACAUUUAUGCCUAGAAAAUAUACAGGAAAGUCUUACCAUACCAUAUAAAAUAGGUUACCCCAAUAUUAUAUAACCUAUUUUAGAAAAUAAAAAAAGAGAUAUCUAGGCAAUUUAUUUUAUGAGACUAAUAUGAAAUAUGGACAUGGGUAAUCUAGAAAAUUUUAAGGGAAAUUAUAGUCCCAAAGAACACAGAUGAAAAUAUCCUAAGUAAAUGAAAAAUUUUUUCCAGUGUAUAUUAGUAUAAUUCUCCAUAUUAAAAUAUUAGAAGGGAACUGGGGUUGUGGCUCAGCGAUAGAGCUCCCGCCUUGCACAUGCAAGGCCCUGGGUUCGAUCCUCAGCACCACAUAAAAAUAAAUAAAUAAAUAAAUAAAUAAAUCGAGUUUUAAAAAUAAAAAAAUAAAUAAAUAAAGUAUUAUAAGAUUAAAGGGAGAAAAAACUGCAUAGCUGUUUAAUAGAUGAUACUUAAAACUAUUGAUAAGGUUUUGUAAUUAAAAAUAAAAGGCCUUUUAAACAAAAUAGAAUUUUUUUCAACUAAUAAAGAAAAUAUAACAAAAACCUAGAGUGAACAGUCAUAUUUAAAUAUAAACUUUAGAAGCCUUCCCACUAAUAUCAGAAUGUCUGCUAACCCAGUUUGUAUUAAACAGUUUGCUAGAGAAGUUAGGCACUGGAAUAACACAAGGAAAAGAAAUUAGGAGUUAGAAGAGAUAAGAUCUAUAAUGAGAAUAACCCAUCUGUGUUUUGCAGGCAAUUCCUAUGAAAUUAUGGCCUACUCUUCCAACUCAAGAGUUGAAUGCAAACUUAACAUUUAAAAAGGUCAAAUUCAAUUGUAGUCAAUGGUGUCUCUAUCUCAUUUAGGUUCGCUAACUAGUAAUAAUAAACAGUGGUCUUCUAGAAUGCUGGAAGAACUUCCUUUUCAUCUAGCAAUUAUGUUCAUGUAUUAUAAAAUUAAACCAAUUAAGUUACUUUCAUCAUCAACAAGUAGCUAUGGAUUUUAAGAGUUUCUGUUAAGAAAAAAUAUAUUCUAUACCAACUGACUCUUAGUUCUGAUUACUUUUUUUUUUUUAAGAAUAUCAAUGGUUGUGGAUGGACACAAUAUCUUUAUUCAUUUAUUUAUUUUUAUGUAGUGCUGAGGAUCGAACAAGUGCUCUACCACGGAACUAUAGCCCCAGCCCUCAAUGGUCAUUCUUUUUUUUUAGAGAGAGAGAGAAUUUUAAUAUCCAUUUUUCAGUUUUCGGCGGACACAACAUCUUUGUAUGUGGUGCUGAGGAUCGAACCCGGGCCGCACGCAUGCCAGGCAAGCACACCACCACCUGAGCCACAUCCCCAGCCCCUCUAAUUACUUUUUUAGGCAAAAAUCGAGCAAAGUAAACAUGGUAUGAAAAAAAAAUAGAUGGAAGAAUUGUGUGUGUAUGAUAGUAAGAUCCCUUAAACUUGUUUUCCGAUUUAGGGUUGCUGUAGUCUAAAUUUAAAUCACAUUUUGGAUCCUGUCCAAGGGCUUUGAAGUACAAACUCAUCAGCCAAACUUAAUCCUAGCUUUAAAGCCCAAGGUAAUGUUGCAGACCCAUGGUGUACUUUAGUCAUAGGCAUUAUUUACUGGUAACCUGACAGGGUGGGUGGCAUGUACUCUUCUGUGCCACUCACCCCCCUACCUCUCAACAAUCCUAUUUUAUGAUGAGUGUUCCCAUUUUAUGGUUUGUUUAUCUUUACUCUUCUCUUAGGAAACUAGGUGGGGUUUUUGUUUGUUUGUUUCUGAAUGGAUUGAAAAAUAAUUGGGGAAAAGAAGCCACAGAAAGUUUAGAGAUAUUUCUGUUUGGGAAUAAAAAUUCACAUUCUAGUUAAAUUGUCUUUGUGUUAUUUUUACGUUGUUUAUAUAUUUAAAUGGUUUGGGUUUUCUCACAAAUCCUUCAUUGUCCAAAACAUGGCUUUCAUAAAAUCUUUAGCAUUCUCUUCUAUCCUGUAUAUUCUAGUUCUGUUAUUUUUCUCUUCCAGCUCUUUGAUGAGAGACUAUAGAGGCUAAUACUUUGAAGAGUGUUCUGGACUAACUUACUAGACAGGCCAUGAUCUCACCUGAACUCAAUUUCAGUGUGACAACUUGAUAGGACAGGACAGGUGGCUAUUCUGCUG